rnacentral:rRNA from 1 species
UACAGAGGGGGCAAGCGUUGUUCGGAAUUACUGGGCGUAAAGGGCGCGUAGGCGGCCCGCUAAGUCGAACGUGAAAUCCCCGAGCUCAACUCGGGAACUGCGUCCGAUACUGGCGGGCUUGAAUCCGGGAGAGGGAUGCGGAAUUCCAGGUGUAGCGGUGGAAUGCGCAGAUAUCAGGAGGAACACCGGUGGCGAAGGCGGGUCUCUGGGCAGUAACUGACGCUGAGGAGCGAAAGCGUGGGGAGCGAACAGG